rnacentral:rRNA from 1 species
GAUGAACGCUAGCGGCAGGCUUAACACAUGCAAGUCGAGGGGCAUCGAGAGUAGCAAUACUUGUCGGCGACCGGCGCAAGGGUGCGUAACACGUGAGCAACAUACCCGUUUCAGGAGGAUAACCGGAGGAAACUCUGCCUAAUACUCCAUGACAUCAUCAAACGGCAUCGUUUGAUGAUUAAAGAUUUAUCGGAAACGGCUUGGCUCGCGGGACAUUAGCUCGUUGGUGAGGUAACGGCUCACCAAGGCCACGAUGUCUAGGGGUUCUGAGAGGAAGGUCCCCCACACUGGAACUGAGACACGGUCCAGACUCCUACGGGAGGCAGCAGUGAGGAAUAUUGGACAAUGGUCGGAAGACUGAUCCAGCCAUGCCGCGUGAAGGUUACUGUCCUAUGGAUAUUAAACUUCUUUUGUAUGAGAGCAAUAAGGUGCACGCGUGCACCGAUGAGAGUAUCAUACGAAUAAGCAUCGGCUAAC